ACCGAGGGUACGAUCGACUAGAGUCAUCUCCUCGAACGCGGGCGCGGCGCACUUCAGAAUUAAUAAGACGAGAGGGCGAAUGCAGCUCGCAGGAUGAAUUCGUGCGCGGUCUACUUUUCCCAGCUACGGGCGAUGCUCGUGAGAAAUCUUCUGCUCAAAAAACGCGAGAAGCGGAAGACGAUGGCGGAGAUCUUUCUACCCCUAUACACUCUUGGGAUCUUGAUCGUGGUGAAGGUUCUGAUACCAAAUCCAAACUAUCCCGCGAUGACGACGCAGAGGCCCGAAGGGGAUGUAUUUAAAUUAUUCAACGGUCACACAAAUAACACGAUUGCCGUGGUACCUAAUUCUACGGAAACCAUGAACUUCUUAUCCUCCAUGAACAACCUCUGGUCCUCUAUGUGGGAUUAUCCCGAUAAGCUUCCCUUAAACUUCAUGGUGUUCGACACGAAGGACGAUCUGCAGGCAGCAUAUUGGAGAGAUCCUUCCAGCGUGCCCCUGGCAGUUAUCUUCGAAGAUGCCCAACCGAUAACACAACGUCUCAUAUAUGAAAUUAGGACGAAUCCUUCGUACACUUCGCCGCCUUCGCCAAAGGAACUCUAUUCCGCUCCGGUCACCUGUCGAAAGGACAUGAGCCUGGUAGACGACUGGGUGGGUGGCGUUUUGUCGAUAGAGACCGGCGGAUCCUGUCCCGUCAAGAAUUACUUACAUUCCGGCUUCCUGGCUCUGCAGAUGAUAAUGGAUAUCACGAAGAUAAAAUUGGACACGAAUUCGGACGUCACUAUACCGGAUAUUAAAUUCGAGAUGUUUCCCAAGGAAGCUUUUACCGCCGACUGGAUGCUAGCCUUCAGAGUUGUUAUUCCUCUCUACAUGGUCCUGGCGCUCUCGCAAUUCAUCACUUAUCUCCUCAUCUUGAUAGUCGGCGAGAAGGAGAAUAAGAUAAAGGAAGGGAUGAAGAUCAUGGGCCUAAAUGAUUCUGUGUUUUGGUUGUCGUGGUUUAUCAUCUACAGCAUCUUCGUUUUGUUGCUCUCCGCCGUCGGAGUAGUUCUGCUUUUCACUCUGCAAAUGUUUCAACACACUCAUUUCCUGCCGAUAUUCCUUCUAGUGGUGCUAUACAGUUUCUCCGUAAUCAUGUUCGCCUUCAUGAUAACGCCGUUCUUCGACAAGUCGCGCACGGCUGGUGUCUUGGGCAACUUCGCUGUCACGAUACUGAGCUUAAUGUACUUCAUCCAAGUAUUCGUAGAUGAUUCCAGCUCGAUCUCCUUCUGGUUAGUCUCUCUACUCAGCCCAACCGGAGUCGCCCUGGCGAUGGACAAAGCUCUGGUGCUGGAUCUGCAAGGCCAGGGAGUGAAUUUCGAUAAUUUGUGGUCUGGUCCUGGGAUACCCUUCGGCGGCAGUCUCAUCAUGAUGACUUUGGAUAUUUUCCUAUACGGCUGGCUGGCCUAUUAUCUCGACUCCGUAAUACCAAGUGAAUACGGAACCAAGAAGCCACCUUGGUUUUGCUUUGUACCUGGAUUUUGGUGUAAGAGAAAGGUUCAAAGGAGAUGCUUGCAGGUGCCGUCGUCGAACGGCGAGUCGAACUCGUUUAUCCCGGGCGAGGAGGCGAAUCGCGACGUGGAGCCAGUGGUGCGCGAGAUGAAGGGCCGCGAGGCCAUCAGGAUAGCCGAUCUCUACAAAUCGUACCACAAGUGCAAGCGUCCGGAGACCAAGGCUGUGAACGGCAUCAAUCUGACCAUCUACGAGGGCCAGAUCACUGCCAUCCUCGGACACAACGGCGCCGGCAAGACCACCCUCUUCAACAUUCUCACGGGUCUGACCGCACCUACCACCGGUACCGCCCUCAUAUUCGGCUACGACGUCCGCGACUCCAACGACAUGCGGGCGAUACGCAGCAUGACGGGGGUCUGUCCGCAGCACGACAUUCUUUUCGAUUUGCUGACGCCGCGCGAGCAUCUCGAAUUCUUCGCCGCUGUGCGUGGCAUUCCACGCUCGAUGAUACAACACGAGGUGAAGAAAACCCUGAAAGAUAUCGAUCUAGCCGAGAAAGCGGACACUUUCGCAAAAUACCUAAGCGGUGGACAAAAGAGAAAGCUGUCAGUAGGAAUCGCCAUCAUCGGCGAUCCAAAAAUCAUUAUCCUCGACGAGCCUACCGCCGGGGUGGAUCCUUAUUCGCGAAGACAGAUGUGGUCUCUUCUGCAGUCGAGGCGACAUGGAAAAGUGAUACUGCUGACGACUCACUUCAUGGAUGAGGCGGACAUUCUUGCAGACAGAAAAGCAGUAAUCAGCAAGGGAAAACUCCGGUGCUGCGGCAGCUCUCUGUUUCUGAAGAACAAGUUUGGCAUCGGUUAUCAUUUAACCUUAGUCCUAGAGGGUAAUGCGAGGGAACAUGCUAUCAAUCGAUUAGUGACUUCGCAUGUAAGCAAAGCGGAGAAGGCGAGACGUCACGGUCGAGAAUUGAGCUUCAUUCUACCCCACAAUUCUGUGGAGAACUUCGCUUCGCUGUUUACCGCCAUCGAACACGAGAUCAAGACCCGCUCGAGCAGACUCGGCAUCAGCAGCUACGGCGUGUCGAUGACCACCCUGGAGGAGGUGUUUCUGCAUCUGGAGAAAGACGAGGAGACCGAGUGCACGAUGGACAACUUGUCGAAGAAGAUGGUGCGCAAUCGAGCGCUCAGCCGAUCGCUCUCGUUGCAAUCUAAAAGUACGUCGUAUCAGAGCUUGCAAAACGAGGGGGUGACCGUUCAAGGCGACAGCCAAGGCAAAGCAGCGAACGAGUUACCGGACGGAGUCCAUAAUAACGACCGAAAUCCACCUGUGCUCGGCCUCGGCCUAGACCCCAUCAAGAUCCGGCCUAACUUUCUUCAGACUCUCUACGCCAUGCUACGUCUAAGAGUGCUCAGACUCUUCAGGAACAUCCAGCUAUUGUACUUUACGAUCGUCAUGCCGCUAGCUCUGAUAGUACUCGGUCUCUACCUAAAUAGUAUCCAGACCGUCGACAUCAAGAUGCAGUCGCUGAAACUUAAUAGCCAGACAUACGGCGAAGAAACCAAGAUUCUCUAUAUAAAUAACAGCGACCGCGACAUCACUGAGUUGAUGAAUGGUAUAGCUCACGACGCGAAGCAUAUCGAGGAAUACGAUGGCGAUUUCGUAAAUUUGUUGAACAUUGCACCGCAUGUAGCUGCCUUCAACAUUACCAAUUAUAAUCUGCCACAAUUCAACCUGACCGUGAUUUACAAUGAUACGAUGCAACAUUCUCUUCCAAUCUUGGUGAACAUUCUCUCGAACACUUAUCAUAGAUUGGUCUCAAACAAGAAUGAUCCUACACGAAUCGAGGUCAAAACGCAUCCUUUCCAGCAAACAUCGCAACCCCAAGAGUUCAACAUUGGCACGGCCAGUUGUGCUCUCUUUAUUGGUAUGGACUUCGUGUUAUUGCCGAUUACUCUAGCAGUGGAUAUGGUUUACGAUCGUGAGAUCAAGGCGAAGAACCAGCUUCGUGUGAAUGGCCUGUCGUUUCCUUUGUACUUCAUAAGCUAUUUUAUUGUGCUGAGUGGCCUGAUGUGUUUCAUCUGCCUGUGCAUCCUUGGCAUCAUAUUCCUUUUCGACGUGCCUUCGCUACAGGAGCUACCGGCGGUCAUCACCCUUGGCACCCUCCUCAUGCUCUACUGCCCAUCGUCUAUCCUCUUUUCAACCUGCCUCAGCUACAUUUUCGACAAGAUGGAUUCCGCUCAAAGCAUCCUACCCAACAUCGCGACCUUCUUCGGAUUGAUACCAUUCCUCCUCGUCAUGAUCCUCGAUAUGCUGGGAGUCGGCGGGACAGCUGCAUUCGCGUUGCACGUGGUCUUUUCCCUAUUGAACUCUAUGUACGUGCCGUAUGCAGCGGUAUAUUAUGUGGACCGCGUUUACCUGAUGUGCUCCAUCAACGCUGCCUGCCAUCAUCUCACCAUGUCCGAUUAUCUCACCACGGAGAUCAUACUGAUGGUUGUCGGCGUAGUGUUGCACGUCCCAUUCUGGUUCUUCAUUCUACUUUUAUUAGACAUCAAGAAGAGCGGCGGCAACAUCAGUGAUUUCUUCAAAUACUUUCUGCGUAAUGGUGGCUCCAUUGGUGAAGAAAUAAUGGAAAACUCUGACAUCGGCGAACACGAAGAUGCGGAUGUGAAAAACGAGCGACAGAAGGUCUUCAACCUUAUUACCUCGUCGGCCGUUCAAGAGCCGCCUGUAGUCUUGGUGCAGAAUCUGCGAAAGGAGUACCGUCCGCAAGAAGCGGGGUCGUCCUGCGCUUGUUGCUCGAAGCGCGAGGAGGAGGUCGUGCAGAAGCAACGGAAGAUCGCCGUGCGGAAUCUUUCGUUGGCGGUGGAACCGGGCGAGGUUCUGGGUCUGCUAGGCCACAACGGCGCCGGCAAAACCACGACCAUGAAGAUCAUCAUCGCCGAGGAAGCGGCGACGAGGGGCAGGGUACAGAUCGGCGGCCACAAUAUCAACACCCACAUGGCAGACGCUUUUCAGCAGAUGGGCUAUUGCCCGCAACACGACGCUCAAUGGAAGAACAUCACCGUACGAGAGCAUCUCGAGUGUUACGCCGCGAUUCGCGGGGUUCCUUGGAGCGAUAUCGACAGAAUCGUGGAUUUAUAUCUGUCCGGUCUACAAAUCCACGAACACGCAGACAAGCAGACUCAAGAAUGUUCCGGUGGGACUAGAAGAAAACUCAGCUUCGCGAUGGCGAUGGUCGGCGGACCCAAGGUAGUCCUCAUGGAUGAACCGAGCACAGGCAUGGAUCCUAGAUCAAAGAGAUUCCUGUGGGACACGAUUCUUGCUAGUUUCCAAGGUGGCAGGGGAGCGAUAUUGACUACCCAUUCUAUGGAGGAAGCCGAUGCAUUGUGUUCGAGGGUCGGCAUAAUGGUGAAGGGUGAGCUAAGAUGCAUCGGCUCGACUCAGCACCUGAAGAAUCUUUAUGGCGCCGGCUAUACUCUCGAGAUGAAGCUGCUGGGCGGCGAUUGCACGCCAACAACUCCCUCCGGUGACAGGAUCGCUACCUUGAAGGAAUUUGUCGCCGGUCUCUUUCCCGAUGCCACCUUGGAGGAGAGCUUCGCCGAUCGGCUGGUCUUCGCCGUACCCCAACAUGCUGUCAACUCGCUGGCCGAGUGUUUCAUGCAGUUGGAAAAAGCCAAGCUCGAACUGGACAUAGAAGAGUACAGCUUUAGUCAAACUACUCUGGAACAAGUAUUCCUCAAGUUCUCGCAUUACGACGAGGGUAACUCCGUGGAAUGAUUAUUCAUAGUGCUAAUGUGUCGUUGUUAUGUGAUAAUCGAUGAUGUGAACUCGGUGUGCGCGAAAGAAAUGUUCGUCUACGCGAAAAAGUGUACCCGAACGACGCAUGUUUUGAGUUUUGAGAACACGAUAUCCGUUGUUUUUAUUAUCUCGAAUCAUGUGAUAUGCAUUACCGCCUCCUUGCUUCAAGGUAUUGAUAAAUAUGACGGUUAUCCAACGGUUCUAGUAUUAUAUUUCGAAGAAGUAUCAAUGUGACACAUCGUCUCGUGCCUUCAAAUCCUUGGAGGGUCAAUGAAGAAACGACAGUAUGAGAUGAAAGAAGAGAAAUUUGUCAAUAGUCUUAAUUAUAUAAUUGUAUUUCAAAGUGUUGCGUCAAGUCGAUACGUAUAAAUCGCUUGGAAAUUUGAUGAAGAAAAAAUGAAGAAACGACAGAAUGGAACAAUUAUCCACGAAUCGUAGCGUUUUAGAAUGACGAAGAAUUACUUAAUAUUGUUCCGAAAUAUUAAAAAAAAGUAAUUAUAGAACAAUUGAAGAAACAAUUAGUCGGAAGUUGGUUGAUUGGUGGAAAUGCUUAAAAAGAAAGAUAAGUAACUCUUUGCAACUUUAAAUCGUUAAUGAGAAGAGGGAAGCAAAACGAGGAUGGAAGGAAUAAUAGAUAGCCGAUUGUCUCAGCAUUACGCUGGACAGCAGUAUUAAAAUGAACAGAAAACUAUAGGAAUGAUGAAGCUCCAAACUGUUGGCGGGACGACGAUAGAACGACGAAAUUAUGAGGGAACAGUUAGCCGCUAGAAGUGAGUUUCGAAGGAGUAUUAAGCCACAGAUCUCUCUCGUCUUGCGGCUCUAUAAAAAAUGACGAAAGGUAAAGGCUUCAAACAAGAAUUAAGAUGAGACUUCGGCUCGGUUGGUUCGAAGAGUUCGAAGGAAUCAUUGAUAAAACAAGAUAUAUAGAGAAUUUAGCAUAAUCGCGGAUAUCAGAAGAUGACAGAAAAAUCGUUUCAUCGUUGCAAAUUAUCCGCGAUGAGAUACUUUAGAAAAAUAAAGGAACAAUUUAUUGGUCUUGGCGUGCUUCGAGACGUAUCAGUUCAAAUGUAUCGGUCGAGAAAAUCGGCUGAAGAACGAAUUUAUUUCUCAGAUGGUGCUUCGAAGACGUGUUGAAGGCCGCCUUCUGGUUUCCAAAUAUUGGAAGACGGAUGAUCGCGGAUAGAACAGUUAGGAACAAAUAGAAACUUAUGAUAGUAGCGUUUUGCUUUUUUGAGAGAACGUUAUAUAUAGGUGAUGAAAAGCGACGAGAGAGGAGAGACCAUUAAUGUGAUGGUGAGUGAACAAAAUCGUCUCUCUAGCGAAAGAAGACUCUCUCUUACAGAAUUUUGUGUAUUAUAUUUAUCCUGUAAAUAGUCUCGCGUGGGAGGAUAUUACUACCACGCUGUGAAGUAAUUAUAAUAGUGUCUCAAUCUCCGUUUCGACGGUGGAGCGUCAUCUCAAGCUUAGCUUUACGCUCGACGUUUUAAUCUCAAUUUCUCUCAUCGACAUUUGUCUCAUCGUGACCGAGAGAAGUCCUCUCGCGAGUCUCAUCGUGAUACCCGGGGAUAAAUGUCGGGCGUAAAUGCGAGGCGUUACGCGAGGAACGAGCAUCCUCGCGGUAUAGUGUCGAAGUUACAUACCGGUAGUCCACUUUGUAUUUAAAAACUUAUCGAUAAAACAAAUAGAUCUCGUACCGAUAUAUUGCACUGGAAUUGGAGCGCACGUCCCACGUUGUUCUCGUGGCGGGAUACGAGACUUUGCGUCACUUUGCGGCAGAAGCUGCAAGUCAAUGGACCGGCUCGAGAAAACGACGUUCGAAAUUUCAGUCUUCAGCUGGCCACAUCGGUUUUUUAUUUUUUUUCUUCGAAUGACGAAAAAGGCCUUUAUUUAGUGAUUCGAAUCUCAUUGAGUAGUCGUAUUAAUAUUACAUCAUUUUAUUUGCAAUCUUGAAAUCGAAGAAAGACCAUCAUUAUAUGGCCUGCAUAGAAAAGAGUGCAUAAUAAUUUUAAAAUAAAAAAAAUUAGAUGAGAGUAUAAAAAGUUUUUUAAUAUGUUAGAGUUCGGUUAGAACAUUUUCAAAAAAUGUUUAAUAUUUUUUUCUAUUGCUCUUUCUAUA